rnacentral:rRNA from 1 species
UACAGAGGUCUCAAGCGUUGUUCGGAUUCAUUGGGCGUAAAGGGUGCGUAGGUGGCGAGGUUAGUCAGGUGUGAAAUCUCGGGGCUCAACCCCGAAACUGCACUUGAUACUGCCUUGCUAGAGUACUGGAGAGGAGAUUGGAAUUUACGGUGUAGCAGUGAAAUGCGUAGAUAUCGUAAGGAAGACCAGUGGCGAAGGCGGGUCUCUGGGCAGUAACUGACGCUGAGGAGCGAAAGCGUGGGGAGCGAACAGG